rnacentral:rRNA from 2 species
CGUUUACCACGGUAUGAUUCAUGACUGGGGUGAAGUCGUAACAAGGUAACCGUAGGGGAACCUGCGGUUGGAUCACCUCCUUA